rnacentral:pre_miRNA from 1 species
GGUACAAUUGCUGAGUUGUAUGGUAGUUAUAUGUUUAAUUUUUAAAGAAACUGCCAAACUAUUUUCCAGAAUGGCUAUACCAUUUUACAUCCCCACCAGCAAU